GGGGAACCAGGACUUUUACUUUGAAAAAAUUAGAGUGUUCAAAGCAGGCCUUUGCUCGAAUACAUUAGCAUGGAAUAAUAGAAUAGGACGUGUGGUUCUAUUUUGUUGGUUUCUAGGACCGCCGUAAUGAUUAAUAGGGAUAGUCGGGGGCAUCAGUAUUCAAUCGUCAGAGGUGAAAUUCUUGGAUUGAUUGAAGACUAACUACUGCGAAAGCAUUUGCCAAGGAUGUUUUCAUUAAUCAGUGAACGAAAGUUAGGGGAUCGAAGACGAUCAGAUACCGUCGUAGUCUUAACCAUAAACUAUGCCGACUAGGGAUCGGACGGUGUUAGUAUUUUGACCCGUUCGGCACCUUACGAGAAAUCAAAGUUUUUGGGUUCUGGGGGGAGUAUGGUCGCAAGGCUGAAACUUAAAGAAAUGACAGAGCUGCACCACUAGGCAAGUUUC
rnacentral:rRNA from 1 species